CCCAUGUCCACAGGUGGGAACACAUGCUAUUGUAUGGUGGAAGCCAUUUCAGAGGCUCAAGAGGCAUCUCGGUGCCCCCCAUAAUAAGGGAUCUUGUGUUUGGCAAGCACAGUUGUCAAGGGUCCCAAGGACCUACACCAGUCCAUGGUGGCUUGAGAGAUGUCAGGGAAGAACAUUAGUGAAUGCUCCUCAAAGUGGUAUGGAAAUUUGGUGCGGAC